rnacentral:rRNA from 1 species
AACGAACGCUGGCGGCAGGCUUAACACAUGCAAGUCGAACGCCCCGCAAGGGGAGUGGCAGACGGGUGAGUAACGCGUGGGAACAUACCCUUUUCUACGGAAUAGCUCUGGGAAACUGGAAUUAAUACCGUAUACGCCCUACGGGGGAAAGAUUUAUCGGGGAAGGAUUGGCCCGCGUUGGAUUAGCUAGUUGGUGGGGUAAAGGCCUACCAAGGCGACGAUCCAUAGCUGGUCUGAGAGGAUGAUCAGCCACAUUGGGACUGAGGCACGGCCCAAACUCCUACGGGAGGCAGCAGUGGGGAAUAUUGGACAAUGGGCGCAAGCCUGAUCCAGCCAUGCCGCGUGAGUGAUGAAGGCCUUAGGGUUGUAAAGCUCUUUCACCGAUGAAGAUAAUGACGGUAGUCGGAGAAGAAGCCCCGGCUAACUUCGUG